rnacentral:rRNA from 1 species
AUUGAACGCUGGCGGCAGGCCUAACACAUGCAAGUCGAGCGGAUGAAGGGAGCUUGCUCCUGGAUUCAGCGGCGGACGGGUGAGUAAUGCCUAGGAAUCUGCCUGGUAGUGGGGGAUAACGUCCGGAAACGGGCGCUAAUACCGCAUACGUCCUGAGGGAGAAAGUGGGGGAUCUUCGGACCUCACGCUAUCAGAUGAGCCUAGGUCGGAUUAGCUAGUUGGUGGGGUAAAGGCCUACCAAGGCGACGAUCCGUAACUGGUCUGAGAGGAUGAUCAGUCACACUGGAACUGAGACACGGUCCAGACUCCUACGGGAGGCAGCAGUGGGGAAUAUUGGACAAUGGGCGAAAGCCUGAUCCAGCCAUGCCGCGUGUGUGAAGAAGGUCUUCGGAUUGUAAAGCACUUUAAGUUGGGAGGAAGGGAAGUAAGUUAAUACCUUGAUGUUUUGACGUUACCAAAAGAAUAAGCACCGGCUAACUUCGUG